GAUGAACGCUAGCGACAGGCUUAACACAUGCAAGUCGAGGGGCAGCACGGGAGUAGCAAUACAACUGGUGGCGACCGGCGCACGGGUGAGUAACGCGUAUGCAACCUACCUAUCAGAGGGGAAUAACCCGGCGAAAGUCGGACUAAUACCGCAUAAAACAGGGGCACCGCAUGGUGAUAUUUGUUAAAGAAAUUCGCUGAUAGAUGGGCAUGCGUUCCAUUAGGUAGUUGGUGAGGUAACGGCUCACCAAGCCGACGAUGGAUAGGGGAACUGAGAGGUUGGUCCCCCACACUGGUACUGAGACACGGACCAGACCCCUACGGGAGGCAGCAGUGAGGAAUAUUGGUCAAUGGGCGGGAGCCUGAACCAGCCAAGUCGCGUGAAGGAAGAAGGAUCUAUGGUUCGUAAACUUCUUUUGCAGGGGAAUAAAGUGCAGGACGUGUCCUGUUUUGUAUGUACCCUGAGAAUAAGGAUCGGCUAACUCCGUGCCAGCAGCCGCGGUAAU
rnacentral:rRNA from 1 species